UCAGGCUAUUCCCAACACACUUGUCAGGCUAUUCCCAACAACCUUGUCAGGAUAUUUCCAACACCAUUGUCUAACUAACCCGAACACCCUUGUCAGGCUAUUCCCAACACCCUUGUCAGGCUGUUCCCAACACCCUCGUCCGGCUAUUCCCAACACCCUUGUCAGGCUAUUCCCAAGACCCUUUUCAGGCUAUUCCAAAGACCCUUGUCAGGCUAUUUCCAACACCCUUGUCAGGCUAU